rnacentral:snoRNA from 1 species
CCGUCUCUCGCCUCGCUCGAUCUGCCGUUUCUAUCGACUUAUCUUGAGCUGGAUGCACAUCCUGACGCGCGAGUCGUAUCGUGGUUGCAUGAGACAAGAGCGACCUCGACGACUUUUGAGUACGAUUGCACCUCAUCCGCCAGGGUUCCAUCGUAAUUAAUCAGUCGGGACAUGC